AAGCACUUUAUUUGAUUUCCUUCGGGACUGAUUAUUUUGUGACUGAGUGGCGGACGGGUGAGUAACGCGUGGGUAACCUGCCUUGUACAGGGGGAUAACAGUUGGAAACGGCUGCUAAUACCGCAUAAGGCCACAGCACCGCAUGGUGCAGGGGUAAAAACUCCGGUGGUAUGAGAUGGACCCGCGUCUGAUUAGGUAGUUGGCGGGGUAACGGCCCACCAAGCCGACGAUCAGUAGCCGACCUGAGAGGGUGACCGGCCACAUUGGGACUGAGACACGGCCCAAACUCC
rnacentral:rRNA from 1 species